CGUGGGUAACCUACCCCGAUGACCGGGACAACCCGAGGAAACUCGGGCUAAUACCGGAUGUUCUGUACUCCUCCAAGGGAGUCCAGCAAAGAUAGCUUCGGCCUUCGCAUCGGGACGGGCCCGCGGCCCAUUAGCUUGUUGGUGGGGUAACGGCCUACCAAGGCGACGAUGGGUAGCUGGUCUGAGAGGACGAUCAGCCACACUGGGACUGAGACACGGCCCAGACUCCUACGGGAGGCAGCAGUGGGGAAUCUUGCGCAAUGGGCGAAAGCCUGACGCAGCAACGCCGCGUGGGGGAAGAAGGCCUUCGGGUUGUAAACCCCUUUCAGUUGGGACGAAGCUUCCAGGGUUAAUAGCCCUGUGGAGUGACGGUACCUUCAGAAGAAGCCCCGGCUAACUACGUGCCAGCAGCCGCGGUAAUACGUAGGGGGCUAGCGUUGUCCGGAAUCAUUGGGCGUAAAGCGCGUGUAGGCGGUCCGGUAAGUCCGCUGUGAAAGUCGGGGGCUCAACC
rnacentral:rRNA from 1 species